rnacentral:lncRNA from 1 species
CUCAUUCUCAAGGUGCUUGAUGUUUAGAACCUAUCUCAAUUAAGAUUAAAUAAUCUCAAUCUACAACAUAAUAUUUAUAACUUCAACAAUGCAUACGCAAACCGUACCCCUACGUGGAGAGGCAGAGAAGUUGUUUCCGAUAUAAUAUUUACAACUUCAAUCCAAAAUAAUUGUAUUCUGAAUAAAGAGAAAAUAUUUGAAAACUAUUCUGAACAAUCUGCAUCCACAAGUAGAUGUGUGGUGACCCAAGCAUACUUGGAUGGAUCGGGUCAAAAUUGACUCCGACAAACUUACAUGAUUAAAAUUGUUUCGACCUGUCAAUUUGACACCUCUAGAUUAUCAUCCCCUCAUUGGAGAUAACCUUUAAGGAAAUGGAGAUAUUAUUUCCAAAAACUUGCUUGCUUUGGUUCAAACUUCUCCACAAGAAACAACACCAACUUGACUUGUCAACCAAGACGGACGAGCAAAUGAAUUGUGCACUAAAUUUUAUUAUAUCUUAACAUACGAGUAAUUAACCAUCACCAUUUCACUAAACCUCUAUGCUUUCCUGGUCAUUAAUUUACAGUCAACAAAAAUUUAGAAGUGUAACAAUAGAAUGAAGGUGACAAAAUAAUAGUGGUAUGCAGUGCCUAAGUUUACCGUCAACAAAAAUUUAGAACUGUAACAAUAGAAUGAAGGUGACAAAAUAAUAGUGGUAUGCAGUGCCUAAUAACUGGCAUAUUUCGACUUUUUAAAUAAUAAACUGGAAACAUCUACGACUAUUCGAAUUGUUCCCAGUCCUCUGUCACUACAGUAGAAGACGGUCUAGGAGGUGGC